CCUGGUGGCUUAGAAGAUAAAGCAUCUGCCUACAAUGCAGGAGACCCAGGUUCGAUCCCUGGGUCAGGA
rnacentral:tRNA from 1 species